rnacentral:lncRNA from 1 species
CUGAAACUUUGCAGCUAUGAAAUUUGCCAUGUAAUUUGUCUCUUCUUGUGUUGAAUUUUGCACUUGAAUUUGUUUUGUCUCCCUCCCCCACUGCCCCCCCCCCAAAAAAAAAAAACCCCACAAAACAAGGAAAAUCCAAAGCCCACCCUGCAAAGUGAAUAGAUGCGGGUGGUGCUUGCAGAUACGAUGACCUGAAACAAAUCUCUGAAAGAAGUGAACUGCCUUCCUCCUUUCACUGUGCCGCUGGCCGCGAAGCCCGGUGGCRAUCAUCUGCGUGCCAGUGUUUAUGCAGAGAUUUUUCUUGCUGAUCACCUUGCUGGAAAUAUUAAUCUUGCAUUCUUAUGCCAGAAUCAGAAAUUGGGGUUUGCCAGCUAUUUGCCAAAAUGACUUUUCUCUGAUAAAGUGUGUUCUAACUUUUGCCAUUAAUUUUUGAGUGCUACAGAGUGCAAAGGGGCAGAGAAAAAGAACUUGAAUUCGAUAGCGGAGGGUUUUGUCCACACCUGGUGCCCUGUUGUAUGCUCUAAGAAACUUGCCACGAAGCUCUGCAGAUGCCUCCCGCAGCACGUCUGCAGCCCUGCGUGGACGGGGGCUCGUGCAGAAGUCGGGAGCCGUUGCUGCCAUUACCCAUCAGCUGCAGCUCUUCCAGUGAAUGUGAGGCUGUCUCACUGGUCAUUGUUUAAUUAAGACCUGAUGAAUUUAAGGACAUUACCUGCUGUGGAUGUGCAUGCUGUGGAUGUGCAUAUCUCUAUGCAAAGGCCCGGGACAAAUCUCCGCUACAGAUCUGAAAGGUGACUUGGCCUCAGGAGCUGGGACUGCACAGGAGCACCGACCAUCGGGCGCUCUGCAGCGGCGAGCACCUCUCCCAGCAGAGCCAACGCCUCUGAUGCAACCUGGGAAGGCCAGCUUAAAAAAUACAUUGUCCAGCUGGAAAGGCUUCAGCUGUUCAGGAGGAGGCCUUGGCCAUGAGACCUGAACUCCAAACGUGACUGAAACRCGGACCUCUCUUCAGAUAAAGGUACUUCUGUAGUGUACACAACUGUAUGUGUUUCAUCUUGUGGUCUGAAUGUGUCUUUUAUUUUUCACUCUGUCCCAUGCCUCUACGCUUUCUAUCUCCUCAGUUCCAGAAAUAUCCUGUAAAAAUAUUGGAAAUAAAACUUGCUGUAUGGUGUAAGUAUUUAGCCCA